rnacentral:misc_RNA from 1 species
GAUUAAGAACGCAGCGAAAUGCGAUACGUAAUGUGAAUUGCAGAAUUCAGUGAAUCAUCGAAUCUUUGAACGCAUAUUGCGCUCUCUGGUAUUCCGGAGAGCAUGCUUGUUUGAGUAUCAGUAAACACCUCAACUUCCAUAUCUUUUUUGAAAUGGGAGUUGGACUUGAGUGAUCCCAACGCUUUUCCUCACCGAAAAGUGGCGGGUUACUUGAAAUGCAGGUGCAGCUGGACUUUUCUCUGAGCUAUAAGCAUAUCUAUUUAGUCUGCCUAAAAAACAGAUUAUUACCUUUGCUGCAGCUAACAUAAAGGAGAUUAGUUCUUGUGCUGACUGAUGCAGGAUUCACAAAGACAGGCUUCGGCCGACUGUGUAAACUCGAUCUCAAAUCAAGUAAGACUACCCGCUGAACUUAAGCAUAUCAAUAAGCGGAGGA